rnacentral:rRNA from 1 species
UACGGAGGGUGCGAGCGUUGUCCGGAAUCAUUGGGCGUAAAGGGCGCGUAGGUGGCGGGACAAGCGUGCGGUGAAAGCUCGGGGCUCAACCCCGCGUCGGCUCGUGCGAACUGUUUUGCUUGAGCACUGUAGAGGCAGGCGGAAUUCCGGGUGUAGCGGUGGAAUGCGUAGAGAUCCGGAAGAACACCGGUGGCGAAGGCGGCCUGCUGGGCAGUAGCUGACACUGAGGCGCGCAGCGUGGGGAGCAACAGG